rnacentral:rRNA from 1 species
GAUGAACGCUGACAGAAUGCUUAACACAUGCAAGUCAACUUGAAUUUGGGUUUUUAACUUAGGUUUGGGUGGCGGACGGGUGAGUAACGCGUAAAGAACUUGCCUCACAGCUAGGGACAACAUUUGGAAACGAAUGCUAAUACCUAAUAUUAUGAUAAUAGGGCAUCCUAUAAUUAUGAAAGCUAUAAGCGCUGUGAGAGAGCUUUGCGUCCCAUUAGCUAGUUGGAGAGGUAACGGCUCACCAAGGCGAUGAUGGGUAGCCGGCCUGAGAGGGUGAUCGGCCACAAGGGGACUGAGACACGGCCCUUACUCAUACGGGAGGCAGCAGUGGGGAAUAUUGGACAAUGGACCAAGAGUCUGAUCCAGCAAUUCUGUGUGCACGAUGAAGUUUUUCGGAAUGUAAAGUGCUUUCAGUUGGGAAGAAAGAAAUGACGGUACCAACAGAAGAAGUGACGGCUAAAUACGUG